AUUGAACGCUGGCGGCAGGCCUAACACAUGCAAGUCGAACGAGUGGCGGACGGGUGAGUAAUGUCUGGGAAACUGCCUGAUGGAUGGGGAUAACUACUGGACACGGUAGCUAAUACCGCAUACCCUCGGAUGUGCCCAGAGGGGAUUAGCUAGUAGGUGGGGUAAAGGAUCACCUAGGCGACGAUCCCUAGCUGGUCUGAGAGGAUGACCAGCACAACUGGAACUGAGACAGGGUCCAGACGCCUAGGGGAGGCAGCAGUGGGGAAUAUGGCACAAUGGGCGCAAGCCUGAUGCAGCCAUGCCGCGUGUAUGAAGAAGGCCUUCGGGUUGUAAAGUACUUUCAGCGGGGAGGCGUUACCCGCAGAAGAAGCACCGGCUAACUCCGUGCCAGCAGCCGCGGUAAUUC
rnacentral:rRNA from 1 species